AUGCAGAGCACAUCUGUUAAGAUAUAUCAUCAUCAUCCAUCCGUUGUGUACAAUGUCAGAAAGUUCUAAAAACAACUGUCAGAUCACGAGAGAUGCGAGCUGUGAACUGAGAGCUAAAAUACUUAUUAUAAUCCCAGAAUGAGAUCGUUACCGAGAAGCGGAAACAGUUGCGUCCUCCUAUGCAAAUAUGAAUAGAAUCAAUGAAGACUCGAGGCGCUCGGCGAUGAGUUGAAAUCGAGUAUUAUUUAUAGGCAGACAUAUGGACAGACAGCUCGUUUUAUAGCGCCGUGUGCAAUAAAUCGCGUAAAUAUGACAAUAAUUUAAACUCGUAUUCUAUGGUUCCUAAUCGUGAUCAUAAACUAUACAAAUUUAUGCACCUAUUAAAAGUUCCACCUUCAAUAUUCCUCGACAUAAGUCAAAGUCAAAAACUCAACGAUGGUUUCUCUUGACAUUUCAUCAGGCCACUUAAGUGGGCCAGGGGAAAUAAAAGCCACAGUUUUUAUUACCAAAAGAGUCAACCAAAAAUGAACUCGUACAUAAAGGAAAUUUCAAAACACAACAAACGUUUUCAGUUCCGUCCUGCUU